rnacentral:rRNA from 1 species
GGACCCGCACAAGCGGUGGAUGAUGUGGAUUAAUUCGAUGCAACGCGAACAACCUUACCUACCCUUGACAUGUCCGAGAGCCUGCUGAAAGGUGGGUGUGCCCGAAAGGGAAUCGGAACACAGGUGCUGCAUGGCUGUCGUCAGCUCGUGUCGUGAGAUGUUGGGUUAAGUCCCGCAACGAGCGCAACCCUUGUCCCUAGUUGCUACGCAAGGGCACUCUAGGGAGACUGCCGGUGACAAACCGGAGGAAGGUGGGGAUGACGUCAAGUCCUCAUGGCCCUUAUGGGUAGGGCUUCACACGUCAUACAAUGGUCGGUACAGAGGGUCGCCAACCCGCGAGGGGGAGCCAAUCCCACAAAGCCGAUCGUAGUCCGGAUUGCAGUCUGCAACUCGACUGCAUGAAGUCGGAAUCGCUAGUAAUCGUGGAUCAGCAUGUCACGGUGAAUACGUUCCCGGGUCUUGUACACACCGCCCGUCACACCAUGGGAGCGGGAUGUACCAGAAGUAGGUAGGCUAACCGCAAGGAGGCCGCUUACCACGGUGCGUUUCGUGACUGGGGUGAAGUCGUAACAAGGUAGCCGUAUCGGAAGGUGCGGCU